UACGUAGGGGGCAAGCGUUGUUCGGAAUUACUGGGCGUAAAGGGCUCGUAGGCGGCCAACUAAGUCAGACGUGAAAUCCCUCGGCUUAACCGGGGAACUGCGUCUGAUACUGGAUGGCUAGAGUGUGGGAGAGGGAUGCGGAAUUCCAGGUGUAGCGGUGAAAUGCGUAGAUAUCUGGAGGAACACCGGUGGCGAAGGCGGCAUCCUGGACCACGACUGACGCUGAGUGAGCGAAAGCCAGGGGAGCAAACGGG
rnacentral:rRNA from 1 species